rnacentral:lncRNA from 1 species
UCCGUUUCACAAACUUUCCCAAUCCUUUCUCAAUCUCACUAUCUUCUAUCUUCUCUUCUUUUGGCUUAUCAACCAUAUCCCCAUCCUUCUCUUCCUUGAUUUUCUCCUUUUCACUGCUUUCAUCUUUAUCUUCAUAGACACUCACUGCUUCUCUCACAUCCAAUUCUAGUUUCUUAGCUUCUAGAUUUCUGUUCUCUUCUUUACUAUCCACCGUUUCCUUAACCUCAGUUUCUUCAUUCAGCUUUUCAUUCCCCGAUACAUUAUCAUCUUUCUUACCCUCUUCCUUUCCUUCCACGGAAUAAACUUCCUUGUCCUCUUUCACUUCCUCCCCAC